GUCCUUUAAGCAGUGAACUGUGUGACAGCACAGCUCACCACUCUAUUUCCAGUUAGUUCAUAAUAGGCAGUCUUAUGGCACCUCCCGGCUACACUCUUUGUCGAGCAAGGUCUCUGACCUGGUGGGUGCAGAUUGUUGGGCGUAUUCCCAUGAGGUCACCAACGGACAUCCCCCAUACCCAGUCAGUGGUCAGGUCUGGAAGUAUUAGAUACACAGGCCACUGCACACCAUAGCUUUUUAUGGUUCCUUAGGUAAUGCACAGUUCUGU